AAGAAACUAACAAGGAUUCCCCUAGUAACGGCGAGUGAACCGGGAAGAGCUCAAAUUUGAAAUCUGGCGUCCUUCGGGCGUCCGAGUUGUAAUCUAUAGAAACGUUUUCCGUGCCGGACCGUGUCCAAGUCCCUUGGAACAGGGUAUCAGAGAGGGUGACAAUCCCGUACUUGACACGACGACCGGUGCUCUGUGAUACGUUCUCUACGAGUCGAGUUGUUUGGGAAUGCAGCUCAAAAUGGGUGGUAAACUCCAUCUAAAGCUAAAUAUUGGUGGGAGACCGAUAGCGAACAAGUACCGUGAGGGAAAGAUGAAAAGCACUUUGGAAAGAGAGUUAAACAGUAUGUGAAAUUGUUGAAAGGGAAACGAUUGAAGUCAGUCGUGACCGUUGGGUUCAGCCGGUUCUGCCGGUCUACUCCCUUCGGUCGGGUCAACAUCGGUUUUGACCGGCGGAUAAGGAAGGGAGGAAUGUGGCACCCUCCGGGGUGUGUUAUAGCCUCCCGUCGCAUACGCCGGUCGAGACCGAGGAACGCAGCUCGCCUUUAUGGCCGGGGUUCGCCCACGUCCGAGCUUAGGAUGUUGACAUAAUGGCUUUAAACGACCCGUC
rnacentral:rRNA from 1 species